GCGAAAGUGGGCUUCGGCCCACGAGUAGAGCGGCGAACGGGUGAGUAACGCGUGGGUGAUCUGCCUUCGAGUGGGGAAUAACACCGGGAAACUGGUGCUAAUACCGCAUAACAUCCUCGGUUCGUUCCGAGGAUCAAAGCUGGGGACCGUAAGGCCUGGCGCUUGAAGAGGAGCCCGCGUCCGAUUAGCUUGUUGGCGGGGUAAUGGCCCACCAAGGCUUCUAUCGGUAGCCGGCCUGAGAGGGCGGACGGCCACACUGGGACUGAGACACGGCCCAGACUCCUACGGGAGGCAGCAGUGGGGAAUUUUCCGCAAUGGGGGAAACCCUGACGGAGCAACGCCGCGUGGAGGAUGAAGGCCCUCGGGUCGUAAACUCCUGUCGAUCGGGAAGAAUGCGUCCGACCUAAUACGUCGGCACGUUGACUGUACCGGUGGAGGAAGCCACGGCUAACUCUGUGCCAGCAGCUGCGGUAAGACAGAGGUGGCAAGCGUUGUUCGGAAUUACUGGGCGUAAAGCGCGCGCAGGCGGUUCGUCAAGUCCCGUGUGAAAUCCCCCGGCUCAACUGGGGAACUGCGCGGGAAACUAGCGGGCUUGGGUUCGGGAGAGGGAAGCGGAAUUCCGGGUGUAGCGGUGAAAUGCGCAGAUAUCCGGAGGAACACCAGUGGCGAAGGCGGCUUCCUGGACCGACACUGACGCUGAGGCGCGAAAGCUAGGGGAGCGAACGGGAUUAGAUACCC
rnacentral:rRNA from 1 species